rnacentral:rRNA from 3 species
GGGUUGUGAGGUUAAGCGACUAAGCGUACACGGUGGAUGCCCUGGCAGUCAGAGGCGAUGAAGGACGUGCUAAUCUGCGAAAAGCGCCGGCGAGGUGAUAUGAACCCUUGACCCGGCGAUGUCCGAAUGGGGAAACCCAGUGUGAUUCGUCACACUAUCGUUAACUGAAUACAUAGGUUAACGAGGCGAACCGGGGGAACUGAAACAUCUAAGUACCCCGAGGAAAAGAAAUCAACCGAGAUUCCCCCAGUAGCGGCGAGCGAACGGGGAGCAGCCCGGAGUCUGAAUCAGCUUGUGUGUUAGUGGAACGGUCUGGAAAGUCCGACGGUACAGGGUGAUAGUCCCGUACACGAAAGCACACUUGCUGUGAACUCGAAGAGUAGGGCGGGACACGUGGUAUCCUGUCUGAAUAUGGGGGGACCAUCCUCCAAGGCUAAAUACUCCUGACUGACCGAUAGUGAACCAGUACCGUGAGGGAAAGGCGAAAAGAACCCCGGCGAGGGGAGUGAAAAAGAACCUGAAACCGUGUACGUACAAGCAGUGGGAGCACCUUCGUGGUGUGACUGCGUACCUUUUGUAUAAUGGGUCAGCGACUUAUAUUCUGUAGCAAGGUUAACCGUAUAGGGGAGCCGAAGGGAAACCGAGUCUUAACUGGGCGUUAAGUUGCAGGGUAUAGACCCGAAACCCGGUGAUCUAGCCAUGGGCAGGUUGAAGGUUGGGUAACACUAACUGGAGGACCGAACCGACUAAUGUUGAAAAAUUAGCGGAUGACCUGUGGCUGGGGGUGAAAGGCCAAUCAAACCGGGAGAUAGCUGGUUCUCCCCGAAAGCUAUUUAGGUAGCGCCUCGUGAACUCAUCUUCGGGGGUAGAGCACUGUUUCGGCUAGGGGGCCAUCCCGGCUUACCAACCCGAUGCAAACUACGAAUACCGAAGAAUGUUAUCACGGGAGACACACGGCGGGUGCUAACGUCCGUCGUGAAGAGGGAAACAACCCAGACCGCCAGCUAAGGUCCCAAAGUCAUGGUUAAGUGGGAAACGAUGUGGGAAGGCACAGACAGCCAGGAUGUUGGCUUAGAAGCAGCCAUCAUUUAAAGAAAGCGUAAUAGCUCACUGGUCGAGUCGGCCUGCGCGGAAGAUGUAACGGGGCUAAACCAUGCACCGAAGCUGCGGCAGCGACACUAUGUGUUGUUGGGUAGGGGAGCGUUCUGUAAGCCGUUGAAGGUGUGCUGUGAGGCAUGCUGGAGGUAUCAGAAGUGCGAAUGCUGACAUAAGUAACGAUAAAGCGGGUGAAAAGCCCGCUCGCCGGAAGACCAAGGGUUCCUGUCCAACGUUAAUCGGGGCAGGGUGAGUCGACCCCUAAGGCGAGGCCGAAAGGCGUAGUCGAUGGGAAACAGGUUAAUAUUCCUGUACUUGGUGUUACUGCGAAGGGGGGACGGAGAAGGCUAUGUCAGCCGGGCGACGGUUGUCCCGGUUUAAGCAUGUAGGCGGAGGUUCCAGGUAAAUCCGGUACCUUAUUAACGCUGAGGUGUGAUGACGAGGCACUACGGUGCUGAAGUGAUAAAUGCCCUGCUUCCAGGAAAAGCCUCUAAGCAUCAGGUAACACGAAAUCGUACCCCAAACCGACACAGGUGGUCAGGUAGAGAAUACCAAGGCGCUUGAGAGAACUCGGGUGAAGGAACUAGGCAAAAUGGUGCCGUAACUUCGGGAGAAGGCACGCUGAUGUGUAGGUGAAGCCCCUGCGGGCGGAGCUGAAAUCAGUCGAAGAUACCAGCUGGCUGCAACUGUUUAUUAAAAACACAGCACUGUGCAAACACGAAAGUGGACGUAUACGGUGUGACGCCUGCCCGGUGCCGGAAGGUUAAUUGAUGGGGUUAGCUGUAAGGCGAAGCUCUUGAUCGAAGCCCCGGUAAACGGCGGCCGUAACUAUAACGGUCCUAAGGUAGCGAAAUUCCUUGUCGGGUAAGUUCCGACCUGCACGAAUGGCGUAAUGAUGGCCAGGCUGUCUCCACCCGAGACUCAGUGAAAUUGAACUCGCUGUGAAGAUGCAGUGUACCCGCGGCAAGACGGAAAGACCCCGUGAACCUUUACUAUAGCUUGACACUGAACACUGGUCCUUGAUGUGUAGGAUAGGUGGGAGGCUUUGAAGCGUGGACGCCAGUCUGCGUGGAGCCGCCCUUGAAAUACCACCCUUUAAUGGCUGGUGUUCUAACGUAGACCCGUAAUCCGGGUUGCGGACAGUGUCUGGUGGGUAGUUUGACUGGGGCGGUCUCCUCCCAAAGAGUAACGGAGGAGCACGAAGGUUGGCUAAUCCUGGUCGGACAUCAGGAGGUUAGUGCAAUGGCAUAAGCCAGCUUGACUGCGAGCGUGACGGCGCGAGCAGGUGCGAAAGCAGGUCAUAGUGAUCCGGUGGUUCUGAAUGGAAGGGCCAUCGCUCAACGGAUAAAAGGUACUCCGGGGAUAACAGGCUGAUACCGCCCAAGAGUUCAUAUCGACGGCGGUGUUUGGCACCUCGAUGUCGGCUCAUCACAUCCUGGGGCUGAAGUAGGUCCCAAGGGUAUGGCUGUUCGCCAUUUAAAGUGGUACGCGAGCUGGGUUUAGAACGUCGUGAGACAGUUCGGUCCCUAUCUGCCGUGGGCGCUGGAGAAUUGAGGGGGGCUGCUCCUAGUACGAGAGGACCGGAGUGGACGCAUCACUGGUGUUCGGGUUGUCAUGCCAAUGGCACUGCCCGGUAGCUAAAUGCGGAAGAGAUAAGUGCUGAAAGCAUCUAAGCACGAAACUUGCCCCGAGAUGAGUUCUCCCUGAGACUUUAAGUCUCCUGAAGGAACGUUGAAGACGACGACGUUGAUAGGUCGGGUGUGUAAGCGCAGCGAUGCGUUGAGCUAACCGAUACUAAUGAACCGUGAGGCUUAACCUUACAACGCCGAAG